rnacentral:rRNA from 1 species
AUUGAACGCUGGCGGCAGGCCUAACACAUGCAAGUCGAACGGUAACAGGAAGAAGCUUGCUUCUUUGCUGACGAGUGGCGGACGGGUGAGUAAUGUCUGGGAAACUGCCUGAUGGAGGGGGAUAACUACUGGAAACGGUAGCUAAUACCGCAUAACGUCGCAAGACCAAAGAGGGGGACCUUCGGGCCUCUUGCCAUCGGAUGUGCCCAGAUGGGAUUAGCUAGUAGGUGGGGUAACGGCUCACCUAGGCGACGAUCCCUAGCUGGUCUGAGAGGAUGACCAGCCACACUGGAACUGAGACACGGUCCAGACUACUACGGGAGGCAGCAGUGGGGAAUAUUGCACAAUGGGCGCAAGCCUGAUGCAGGCAUGCCGCGUGUAUGAAGAAGGCCUUCGGGUUGUAAAGUACUUUCAGCGGGGAGGAAGGGAGUAAAGUUAAUACCUUUGCUCAUUGACGUUACCCGCAGAAGAAGCACCGGCUAACUCCGUG